rnacentral:rRNA from 1 species
GUGGGGAAUCUUAGACAAUGGGGGAAACCCUGAUCUAGCCAUGCCGCGUGAGCGAUGAAGGCCUUAGGGUUGUAAAGCUCUUUCAGCUGGGAAGAUAAUGACUGUACCAGCAGAAGAAGCCCCGGCUAACUCCGUGCCAGCAGCCGCGGUAAUACGGAGGGGGCUAGCGUUGUUCGGAAUUACUGGGCGUAAAGCGCACGUAGGCGGACCGGAAAGUCAGAGGUGAAAUCCCAGGGCUCAACCUUGGAACUGCCUUUGAAACUCCUGGUCUUGAGGUCGAGAGAGGUGAGUGGAAUUCCGGGUGUAGAGGUGAAAUUCGUAGAUAUUCGGAGGAACACCAGUGGCGAAGGCGGCUCACUGGCUCGAUACUGACGCUGAGGUGCGAAAGCGUGGGGAGCAAACAGGAUUAGAUACCCGAGUAGUCC